GGUUGAUCCUGCCAGUAGUCAUAUGCUUGUCUCAAAGAUUAAGCCAUGCAAGUCUAAGUUUAAAUUAGUUUAACAGUGAAACUGCGAAUGGCUCAUUAAAUCAGUUAUAGUUUAUUUGAUAGUACAAUUACUACUUGGAUAACCGUGGUAAUUCUAGAGCUAAUACAUGCAUUAAUCCCCGACUUCUGGAAGGGGUGUAUUUAUUAGAUAAAAAACCAUCCUGCUUCGGCAGUUUUUUGGUGAUUCAUAGUAACUUUUCGAAUCGCAUGACUUUAUGUCGGCGAUGUAUCAUU
rnacentral:rRNA from 1 species